rnacentral:rRNA from 1 species
CAUAAGGUCCAGAGAUCUUGGUUUUUGGAUGAAAAGUGCAAUUGCACUGUCUGGGGAUGAGCCUGCAGUUCAUUAGCUAGUUGGUGGGGUAAAGGCCUACCAAGGCGACGAUGGAUAGCCGGCCUGAGAGGGUGUACGGCCACACUGGGACUGAGAUACGGCCCAGACUCCUACGGGAGGCAGCAGCUAGAAUCUCCCGCAAUGGGCGAAAGCCUGACGGAGCGACGCCGCGUGUAUGAUGAAGGCGGAAACGUUGUAAAGUACUUUUCUUAGGGAAGAAUAAGUGUGGGAGUGGAAAGCCCACAUGAUGACAUUAACUGAGGAAUAAGCCCCGGCUAAUUACGUGCCAGCAGCCGCGGUAAUACGUAUGGGGCGAGCGUUGUUCGGAUUUAUUGGGCGUAAAGGGCGUGUAGGCGGUUUUGUAAGCCCGGUGUAAAAGGUAUUGGCUUAACCAAUAUUUUGCGCUGGGUACUGCAAGACUAGAGUCCUGGAGAGGAAGCUGGAAUUCCUGGUGUAGGGGUGAAAUCUGUAGAUAUCAGGAAGAACACCGAUGGCGGAGGCAAGCUUCUAGCCAUGGACUGACGCUGAGGCGCGAAAGCGUGGGGAGCAAACAGGAUUAGAUACCCUGGUAGUCCACGCUGUAAACGAUGUGCACUAGGUGUGGGAGGUGUUAAACUUUCCGUGCCGUAGUUAACGCGAUAAGUGCACCGCCUGGGGAGUAUGCUCGCAAGGGUGAAACUCAAAGGAAUUGACGGGGGCCCGCACAAGCGGUGGAGUAUGUGGUUUAAUUCGAUGUACGCGAGAAACCUUACCAGGGUUUGACAUGUGCAUGAAAGUUCAAGAGAUUGGGCUGUCCUGUAUAAGGACAUGCACACAGGUGCUGCAUGGCUGUCGUCAGCUCGUGUCGUGAGAUGUUGGGUUAAGUCCCGCAACGAGCGCAACCCUCGCUGUCUGUUGCCAACAGGUUAAGCUGGGAACUCAGACGGAACUGCCGAUGACAAAUCGGAGGAAGGUGGGGACGACGUCAAGUCAUCAUGGCCCUUAUGUCCUGGGCUACACACGUACUACAAUGGUCGGUACAGAGCGUUGCAAAACGGUGACGUUAUAGCAAAUCGCUUAAAGCCGAUCUCAGUUCGGAUUGAAGUCUGAAACUCGACUUCAUGAAGUUGGAAUCGCUAGUAAUCGCGCAUCAGCAUGGCGCGGUGAAUACGUUCCCGGGCCUUGUACACACCGCCCGUCACACCACCCGAGUUGGGGGUACCCGAAGUCGCUAGUCUAACCGCAAGGGGGACGGUGCCGAAGGUAUGCCUGGUGAGGGGGGUGAAGUCGUAACAAGGUA